rnacentral:rRNA from 2 species
UGAGUUUGAUCUGGCUCAGGACGAACGCUGGCGGCGUGCCUAAUACAUGCAAGUCGAACGAACUCUGGUAUUGAUUGGUGCUUGCAUCAUGAUUUACAUUUGAGUGAGUGGCGAACUGGUGAGUAACACGUGGGAAACCUGCCCAGAAGCGGGGGAUAACACCUGGAAACAGAUGCUAAUACCGCAUAACAACUUGGACCGCAUGGUCCGAGUUUGAAAGAUGGCUUCGGCUAUCACUUUUGGAUGGUCCCGCGGCGUAUUAGCUAGAUGGUGGGGUAACGGCUCACCAUGGCAAUGAUACGUAGCCGACCUGA